GUGCUUAUUUCAGCAGCACAUACGCUAAAAUUGGAAUGAUACAUAGAAGAUUAACACGGCCCCUGCACAAUCUGUAAAGUUUCCUUAAAAAAAAAAAAUAGGAUGUUUCU